rnacentral:lncRNA from 1 species
AUCAACAAUGCAAACCUGUCUCAUUGAUUUUCCAUAAGAGCUCUUAUAAAUUUCCAAAAUGACUAACUAUCAAAACACAACCGAAUAUCUAAUAACAAAAUAACUACUAUCAAGUUAUAACUAAAACAUUUCAACACAUUAGUUCAAUUAUAAGGCUUCUCUAAACAAAAUGAGCAAGCCAUUUUCGCAUGGCUAUAAUGUAUACAAAGUCGAAAUAUCAUUCUACCUAUAGUCUAUCCUAUACAUGCCUUAAACCAUGAUGAUAUACAAUCUUCUCAACUCACAUAAUGACUCGAUAGUGUGAUGAUAUCUCCGGCUCUUCCAACUCGAAUUAAAGGAUAAACCUAUAAGAAAUGGAAAAGAGAACACGGAGUAAGCUUCAAUGCUUAGUAAAUUUUAAGCAAUGCAAACAAUUAAUUUACUUAUAGAUCGAUUAUUUCAAAUUUUCAAGAAAUCAUUCCUAGGUAAUUGCCAUUUUGGCCAAGUAUCCAUGAACAUAAUGCAUAUUUAGCAAAUUCAUCUCACUUGAAUCUGAACUCAAUUAAAACCAAAUAUUCAAAUCACAAAUAAGAUCAUAAGAACUCGAAAAGUAUCUCAUUAACUAGUUUUAACCAUGUUUCCAACAAAAUCACAAAUUCACUACAAGCUGUCUUCCUGAGCAACAGUCACUAAAUUGUUUAUAACUGGAGCUAAGAAACUCCAAAUCAAGUGCCGUUAAUUUUCCUUGAAAAUAGACUCAUAUAUCUUACAUCCAUAAAAUUUUCAGAAUUUUUGGUUUGACCAAUCAAUACCAUAUUUUUAUUGAAGUUUCCCCUGUUUCACUGUUUGACUAUUCUGACCGCUCUUCACUACGAAUCAAUUUUCUCAUUAUACAGAAUUAGAAUUAUGUUAUCGUUUAUUUAAUUUGAAACUAGACUCAUUAAGGAGUCUAAGUAUAUAAAUUUUAUCUUAUAAUCAUCAUUGUACAAUUUACAAUGAUUUUCUAAACACAGAACAGGGGAUUUCAAAGUUAUUUUGACUCUAUCUUACGCCACUUCAAAUAUCUCAUUAUCUACAAUUCUUUUGCUUACAAGGUUUCUUUUAUAGGAAACUAGACUCAUUAAGAUUUAAUUACAUAAUUUAUUCAGCUUCUAAUUCAAUUUCCACAAUUUAUGGUGAUUUUCCAAAAUCACGCUACUGUUGCUGUCCCAAGCAGAUUUAUUACAAUUUGCACUUUGACACAUUCCUUGCAUUCAAAUUAUCUAAACAUGUAUAUCAUGUCAUUCAAGAUCGAACUCAUAUAACAUAGGCAUUAAAAUGCUUCACUAACAGCUUUAGUUCAAUUGAAAUGAAUAAAAUACAAUAUAAUAUUCACAUUUAAUUUCCAUGAUCGUAAUCACCUAAAAAUAAAUCAUAUACUUCCACAAACCUUUCCACAAUGACCAAGUGUUUAUAUUUGAAUAUAAACAUAAAAUCACUUCACAUAACUUCACACAUUUACCGAAUAUAUCACAAUCACAUAUAUAGUCAUAACACUUAUUCACAGAUGCAUCACUUUAUAUAUUUAUAAUUUAGUUCAAAUCAAAUCACAUACGAGUACAUGAUACGUACCUGGCCAACUUAAUAUGUAAUGCACUUUCAAUUUGUCAACUUAGUGUAGGAUCUUGUAAUUGUAUAAUUUUACCAAAUUCAUCGGCACUUGGCCUGCUAGGUAUAAAACCCGAAAUUAUAUUACCAGCACAAAGCCUGCAGGACUUUAGCUCGGAUACAUUUCCAGCACGAAGCCUGCGGGACUUUAGCCCGAAUACAUUUCCAGCACGAAGCCUGCGGGUCUUUAGCCCGGAUACAUUUCCAGCACGAAGCCUUCGGGACUUUAGCCCGGAUACAUUUCCAGCACGAAGCCUGCGGGUCUUUAGCCCGGAUACAUUUCCAGUGUCUUGCUUAUUUAUUCACAUGUUAACACAUUUCACAUAACAUAUCACAUUAGCAAUUCAAUUGCUUCAUUCGAAUAUAAGCACAAAAUGUACACCUACCCUUUAACUUUCGGUUCAAUAAUCAUACACAAGGAACACAAAUGUCGAAAUCCUGUUUCAUGACAUAUGUAUCCUAACUAUUCCUAAGGUUCAUACAGGGCUUUCGAACGUCGUAACUCGGUCGAAUCGAAAGCUCGAACAUAGUUUUCAAACUCAUACACAUUCGGCAUUUACAAGUAUAAAUUCAUUAUUAUAUACCAGCAUAUAUACUUAACAUUUAACUACAUUUAGGCAUGUGUAUUUGCUUAUAAACUUACCUCAGACGUCGUAAAACGGGACGGAGCUGCUAGUCGAC